AUGGGGCUCAGUUCUAGUAGCAAAAGAAGAUGGGAGAAUAGGCCUUGGGUAUAACUAUCAGUCUCUGCAAUAGGCGGCAAGAUGGUGUUCACAAAGGCCAACAUUUUUCAUGGCGAGAUGUCUAGAAUUUGAACUUUAGAAUGAUCCUUCUGGUCAAUUUAAAUCUGCUGUGAAGCAAGUUGCCCACCUACAGGACAUGGAAUGGAAGGACAUGGAAGAUACAAAUAGAGUCGGACAAGAAAGACUUUACCUAACUCUGGAGGAAUCAGCUUUGAGGAGACCUACAAAGGUUUUACAGAUGUGAAAAUUAAGAAACAGAGAGAAGAGACUAUUCAAAGCAGUUGAACACUGGAUAAGAGCUGGAUUUGAGUUUGACAGCCCUGAGUUCCAAUCCUGGUUCCAUCACACACUCGCUAAAUGACCUUGGCAAAGUAGUUGACUCUCUGUGAAUCUCUCUUAAGGCCAUUCAGGCUAACUAAGAUUUAGUUACCUAAGUUUUAAAAAUUAACCAUGUAGGCUGAGAGUCUACGCA
rnacentral:lncRNA from 1 species